ensembl:lncRNA
CUUUGGACUCCAGAAUGUCUGGCUCUAGAGGGUAAACAGGAGGCUGACUGAAAAUACCUAGCCCAUCUAACUCUUCCUUCAGAAAUGCUAACAGUUAAGGACGCUCUCAAUGAUUUAGGGCCACCCCAAUCCAGGAUGACCUCCUCUCCAGAUUUGUAACCAAUUACACCUGCAAAAGACCUACUUCCAAAGAAGGUUCCAUUUUCAAAUUCUGAAGUCAUGACAUGGACAUAGCAUCUGGGAGCCACUCAUUCACUCCAUACAGCACCCAGUUCCCAGAUGCCAGCCUGCCUUCCUCAGGACAGCACUCAGGCUGGUGACUUUCCGUCUUCCUGCAUGGAGGUGUCUUUUGUUUCUUACUGUAACUUAGUGAGGUUGCCUGGGGGGACCCUGCUGGUUGACCUCCUGGUGAUCCCAGGGACCAUGCUGAGUGUCCUCCCGAAGUGCGGGAGCAUGGCCAGGGCUCCCUGUGCAUACUCUACACUGACCAGUUGGUGGUCAGGCACCUGCGCAGGC